GGCUAACUGCCCUUAGGACGAGAAUAACCCCGGGAAACUGGGGCUAAUGCUCGAUAGGUGAAGAACUCUGGAAUGAGUCUUCACUUAAAAGAGUCUGCGUUAUGCUCGUAGAUUUCGCUUAAGGAUGGGGCCGCGACCGAUCAGGUUGUUGGUGAGGUAAUGGCUCACCAAGCCUUUUACCGGUGCGGGCCGUGAGAGCGGGAGCCCGGAGAUGGGCACUGAGACAAGGGCCCAGGCCCUACGGGGCGCAGCAGUCGCGAAAACUUUGCAAUACACGAAAGUGUGACAGGGCUAUCCCGAGUGCCAUCCGCUGAGGAAGGCUUUUACCCAGUCUAGAACGCUGGGGGAAUAAGGAGAGGGCAAGUCUGGUGUCAGCCGCCGCGGUAAUACCAGCUCUCCGAGUGGUGUGGAUGUUUAUUGGGCCUAAAGCAUCCGUAGCUGGCUAAGUUAGUCCCCUGUUAAAUCCAACGAAUUAAUCGUUGGAUCGCGGGGGAUACUGCUUGGCUAGGGGACGAGAGAGGCAGACGGUAUUUCCGGGGUAGGGGUGAAAUCCUAUAAUCCCGGGAAGACCACCAGUGGCGAAGGCUGUCUGCUAGAACGCGCCCGACGGUGAGGGAUGAAAGCUGGGGGAGCGAACCGGAUUAGAUACCCGGGUAGUCCCAGCUGUAAACGAUGCAGGCUAGGUGUUUGGACGGCCACGUGCCGUUCUAGUGCCGCAGGGAAGCUGUUAAGCCUGCCGCCUGGGGAGUACGAUCGCAAGAUUGAAACUUAA
rnacentral:rRNA from 1 species